CAGUAGCCGCGGUAAUACGGAGGGUGCAAGCGUUGUCCGGAUUUAUUGGGUUUAAAGGGUGCGUAGGCGGCUAUUUAAGUCAGCGGUGAAAGACUCCGGCUCAACCGGAGCAGUGCCAUUGAUACUGGAUAGCUUGAGUGUUGGAGGGGUACAUGGAAUUGAUGGUGUAGCGGUGAAAUGCAUAGAUACCAUCAGGAACACCGAUAGCGAAGGCAUUGUACUGGCCAACAACUGACGCUGAGGCACGAAAGCAUGGGGAGCAAAUGGGAUUAGAUACCCCCGUAGUCCCUGUCUCUUAUAC
rnacentral:rRNA from 1 species